GCCAGCAGCCGCGGUAAUACGGAGGGUGCGAGCGUUAAUCGGAAUUACUGGGCGUAAAGCGCGCGUAGGUGGCUUGAUAAGCCGGUUGUGAAAGCCCCGGGCUCAACCUGGGAACGGCAUCCGGAACUGUCAGGCUAGAGUGCAGGAGAGGAAGGUAGAAUUCCCGGUGUAGCGGUGAAAUGCGUAGAGAUCGGGAGGAAUACCAGUGGCGAAGGCGGCCUUCUGGACUGACACUGACACUGAGGUGCGAAAGCGUGGGUAGCAAACAGGAUUAGAUACCCUGGUAGUCCACGCCGUAAACGAUGUCGACUAGCCGUUGGGUCCUUCGCGGACUUUGUGGCGCAGUUAACGCGAUAAGUCGACCGCCUGGGGAGUACGGCCGCAAGGUUAAAACUCAAAUGAAUUGACGGGGGCCCGCACAAGCGGUGGAGCAUGUGGUUUAAUUCGAUGCAACGCGAAGAACCUUACCUACCCUUGACAUCCUCGGAAUCCGCCAGAGAUGGCGGAGUGCCUUCGGGAACCGAGAGACAGGUGCUGCAUGGCUGUCGUCAGCUCGUGUUGUGAAAUGUUGGGUUAAGUCCCGUAACGAGCGCAACCCUUGUCCCUAUUUGCCAGCGAUUCGGUCGGGAACUCUAGGGAGACUGCCGGUGACAAACCGGAGGAAGGUGGGGACGACGUCAAGUCAUCAUGGCCCUUACGGGUAGGGCUACACACGUGCUACAAUGGUCAGUACAAAGGGUUGCGAACUUGCGAGAGUGAGCCAAUCCCAGAAAGCUGAUCUCAGUCCGGAUCGGAGUCUGCAACUCGACUCCGUGAAGUCGGAAUCGCUAGUAAUCGUGAAUCAGAAUGUCACGGUGAAUACGUUCCCGGGCCUUGUACACACCGCCCGUCACACCAUGGGAGUGGACUGCACCAGAAGUGGUUAGCCUAACCUUCGGGAGGGCG
rnacentral:rRNA from 1 species